rnacentral:rRNA from 1 species
AACGAACGCUGGCGGCAUGCCUAACACGUGCAAGUCGAACGAGACCUUCGGGUCUAGUGGCGCACGGGUGCGUAACGCGUGGGAACCUGCCCUUAGGUUCGGAAUAACUCCCCGAAAGGGGUGCUAAUACCGGAUAAUGUCUUCGGACCAAAGAUUUAUCGCCUUUGGAUGGGCCCGCGUUGGUUUAGCUAGUUGGUAGGGUAAAAGCCUACCAAGGCGACGAUCCAUAGCUGGUCUGAGAGGAUGAUCAGCCACACUGGGACUGAGACACGGCCCAGACUCCUACGGGAGGCAGCAGUGGGGAAUAUUGGACAAUGGGCGAAAGCCUGAUCCAGCAAUGCCGCGUGAGUGAUGAAGGCCUUAGGGUUGUAAAGCUCUUUUACCCGGGAUGAUAAUGACAGUACCGGGAGAAUAAGCUCCGGCUAACUCCGUG